rnacentral:rRNA from 1 species
GACGAACGCUGGCGGCGUGCUUAACACAUGCAAGUCGAACGGAAAGGCCCUGCGUUUGUGGGGUGCUCGAGUGGCGAACGGGUGAGUAACACGUGAGUAACCUGCCCUUGACUUUGGGAUAACUUCAGGGAACUGGGGCUAAUACCGGAUAGGAGCUCCUGCUGCAUGGUGGGGGUUGGAGAGUUUCGGCGGGUGGGGAUGGACUCGCGGCUUAUCAGCUUGUUGGUGGGGUAGUGGCUUACCAAGGCUUUGACGGGUAGCCGGCCUGUGAGGGUGACCGGCCACAUUGGGACUGAGAUACGGCCCAGACUCCUACGGGGGGCAGGAGGUGGGAAUAUUGCACAAUGGGCGGAAGCCUGAUGCAGCAACGCCGCGUGCGGGAUGACGGCCUUCGGGUUGUAAACCGCUUUCGCCUGUGACGAAGCGUGAGUGACGGUAAUGGGUAAAGAAGCACCGGCUAACUACGUG